rnacentral:misc_RNA from 1 species
UACGGAGGGUGCAAGCGUUAAUCGGAAUUACUGGGCGUAAAGGGUGCGUAGGUUGUUUGUUAAGUUAUCUGUGAAAUUCCUGGGCUUAACCUGGGCAGGUCAGAUAAUACUGGCGGACUUUGAGUAUAGGAGAGGGUAGUGGAAUUUCCGGUGUAGCGGUGAAAUGCGUAGAGAUCGGAAGGAACACCAGUGGCGAAGGCGGCUACCUGGCCUAAUACUGACACUGAGGCACGAAAGCGUGGGGAGCAAACAGG